rnacentral:rRNA from 1 species
AGUGAACGCUGGCGGUAGGCCUAACACAUGCAAGUCGAACGGCAGCACAGUAAGAGCUUGCUCUUACGGGUGGCGAGUGGCGGACGGGUGAGGAAUACAUCGGAAUCUACUUUUUCGUGGGGGAUAACGUCGGGAAACUUACGCUAAUACCGCAUACGACCUACGGGUGAAAGCAGGGGAUCUUCGGACCUUGCGCGAUUGAAUGAGCCGAUGUCGGAUUCGCUAGUUGGCGGGGUAAAGGCCCACCAAGGCGACGAUCCGUAGCUGGUCUGAGAGGAUGAUCAGCCACACUGGAACUGAGACACGGUACAGACUCCUACGGGAGGCAGCAGUGGGGAAUAUUGGACAAUGGGCGCAAGCCUGAUCCAGCCAUACCGCGUGGGUGAAGAAGGCCUUCGGGUUGUAAAGCCCUUUUGUUGGGAAAGAAAAGCAGCAGGUUAAUACCCCGCUGUUCUGACGGUACCCAAAGAAUAAGCACCGGCUAACUUCGUG